UCCAAGCAGGAAUGUAAAGCAAUGAUGCGGUUUAUUGAAAGAUUGUGGUUCAUUCUUCCUGGCGCUGCUCAGGAAUGUGAUCUUGUUGUGAAGCACAGCUCUGCUAACCUUUGUGAUUCUAGUUCAGAGUUCUUUGGCAGCUGGCCUAAUCUAAGGAACCUAGAAGGAGGGCUUGUAGUUUUGUACCAUCCAUCUGGGGAAAACUCCUGGCAGAUUGCCGUAUAUCCAUGGAGCAGAGAAAAAGGAAACCGUUAAAAACAACGGCAACACAAUAAGCAGAAUGCAUGAUAUGCAUAUCGGAAAGGCAAUUUGAAUAAGAGAGAUUGGG